rnacentral:rRNA from 1 species
AUGCAAGUCGAACGAGGUCCAUCCGGUGGCAACACUGGUGAAGACCUAGUGGCGAACGGGUGAGUAACACGUGAGCAACCUGCCCCGAAGACUGGGAUAACACCGGGAAACCGGUGCUAAUACCGGAUACCCCCACCGGAUCGCAUGUUCUGGUGAGGAAAUGGAUUCCGCUUCGGGAGGGACUCGCGGCCUAUCAGCUUGUUGGUGGGGUAACGGCCCACCAAGGCUCCGACGGGUAGCUGGUCUGAGAGGACGAUCAGCCACACUGGGACUGAGACACGGCCCAGACUCCUACGGGAGGCAGCAGCGGGGAAUCUUGCGCAAUGGGCGAAAGCCUGACGCAGCACGCCGCGUGGGGGAUGAAGCUUCUCGGAGUGUAAACCCCUCUCGACCCGGACGAACCCCCGCAANGGGAUUGACGGUACGGGUAGAAGAAGCCCCGGCUAACUACGUG